AUUACUCCUACGGGAGGCAGCAGUAACGAAUAUUCCGCAAUGCGCGAAAGCGUGACGGAGCAAUGCCGCGUGCAGGAUGAAGCGGUUUCGCCGUGUAAACUGCUGUCAGGGACUAGAAAUACUGAUCAGUCCCAGAGGAAGAGACGGCUAACCCUGUGCCAGCAGCCGCGGUAAUAAU
rnacentral:rRNA from 1 species